rnacentral:rRNA from 1 species
AGCCUAGCGCUAAGGCUUAAUGUGGUUGUCGCAAGGCAAUCAAUUAAACAGCAUUAAGCGGUGCAGCGUUACAAACUCUGGUGUUUAGUAGUGUCGAUGUAAUGCAUGGAAAGGGCAACCUAACCAUGUAUUGCUUUCGGCCUAGCGUACAAGUCCCAUUGACUUGGGCUUAUUCUUAAUUGAGAUGUCUACGGGUUUGGGGCAACUUGGAUCCGUUGAUGAGCCAUAGAGGGUGAAAGUCCCUUAAUGCGCAGGUAUUGAUGCUACGAAUCAGAGCAGUGGCGUCUGGUAAAACAGGCGUUGCGGUUUGUUAGAGUCGGGUUGCUUGAGAGUGCAACCUAAAGAGCGAGGUAAACUGCUCGUAAGGCUACUUAAAUACGGCUACGACACCGAUAGCAAACAAGUACCGUGAGGGAAAGUUGCAAAGUACUUUGAAGAGAGAGUUAAACAGGGCGUGAAACCGCUAGCUGGUAAACGAGUGGAGCCACGAAGUCGUUUCGUAGAAUACGGGGCGCAAAUUCAGUUGAGGUCCGUAAAAAAGGCCUUAGCGUAUUUUUGCUUGUCUCGCUAAUGUAAGCGUACACUGCAACCAAUUAGACGGCCAAACGUGGAAUCAGCUUCACACAGUGACAGUAAAAUGUUGCUUGUGAGCGCAAAAAUUUGUGUAUGUACUGUAGGUAGCCUGGUUGAGGUCUCGUUAUCUCAUUCGGGUGUCUGACGUGUGCAUGCGUGAACUACGAUUGGGUACUGAUUGGCAAAAGGAAAAUCGAAUCGCAAGAUUCGUGUAUUCAUAGAAAGCGGCUUACAUCGUAACUGGGUACAAUUGUGCGCUACCAGUAUAAGCUUAAUAUUUUUGAAUUCAGGCACGUAUAUUGUCUUCGAGCUUGCUCGUUGAUAUAUGCGCUGUUUUCUGUCUAAUCGGGUAUUAACUUUGCUGAUAGUUUUAGUGCAGUUGCUACGAUAGCACUGGAUGCGAUAGUAAGUUUGCAAGUAUUGGCAGUGAGUAGGUCGGCUUUCCACACGACCCGUCUUGAAACACGGACCAAGGAGUCUAGUUAAGUAUCGAGUCGAUCGGUCUUGAUUAGGCCAGACAUCGAGAGUGAGCGUCGUAAAAAAGCGUUCAAUUUAGUCUCGGAAUAAACUAUAAAUGACGGCAAAGUGAAAUCAAAUCAUAUGUGAUCUGAGGUCUACAAAAACGGCCUACAGCGCAACAUAUGCCCACUCGUAUGGUUAUACGCGCAAGUGUUAACCGGGUGGAGCAAAGAGAUACUUGACUGGUACCCGAAAGAUGGUGAACUAUUCCUGGCCAGAUUGAAGCCAGAGGAAACUCUGGUGGAGGAUUGUAGCGAUUCUGACGUGCAAAUCGAUCGUCAGAGCUGGGUAUAGGGGCGAAAGACUAAUCGAACCAUCUAGUAGCUGGUUCCCUCCGAAGUUUCCCUCAGGAUAGCAAGCUCUCGCAGAAAUGUGAAUCAGUUUCAUCUGGUAAAGCGAAUGAUUAGAGGCCUUGGGAGCGAAACGCUCUCAACCUAUUCUCAAACUUUAAAUGGGUGAGAUGUACGACGUACUUAACUGACGCCGUAUUCAUAGAGAAUGUAUUGAGAGCUUAGUGGGCCAUUUUUGGUAAGCAGAACUGGCGAUGCGGGAUGAACCGAAAGUGAAGUUAAGGUUGCCGAUAAUGGUGCUUACAAUUAUGCACUAGCUACACUCAUGAGAUCCCAUGAAAGGUGUAAGUUGCUAAAGACAGCAAGGACGUGGCCAUGGAAGUCGGAAACAUCUAAGGAGUGUGUAACAACUCACUUGCCGAAGCAACUUGCCCUGAAAAUGGAAGCAGCUCGAGUGUUGAACCUAUACUUCACCGUUGAAUUAUCGUUCGUACACACACAUGCGAUUAGUUAUGAUUCAACGUGUAGGAGGGUUGUGUUGGUAGCGUUGAAGGCUAUGAGGGAGUGAUCCUGGCUGGAGCUGCCAAUAGUACAGAUCUUGGUGGUAGUAGCAAAUACUCAAGUGAGACCCUUGAGGGCCAAUGUGGAGAAGGGUUCCAUGCUAACAGCAAUUGGACAUGGGUCAGUCGGUCCUAAGAGAAUGGCGAAAGCUAUUUCUGAAUCAAAGGCAGUGUAAUCAAAACACAACUUACUAAGAAAGAAACCAAUAAAAACGCCAUGCACAUACACAUACACACAAUUGAAACAAAAUAAAAACGUAAAACAAUGCAAUAUAAGCUAAACACAGACAUAUUAUUAUUCGCGUAAAAACGGAAAAUAAAAAUAAAAUUUGUGUUAUAAAAAAGCGAGCUUGUUAUACGAAAUUUAUACGAAUGUGUGUGUGUGUGUGUGUCUGUGUACGUACAAUACGGUUUUUUUCAAGUGUACAAUGAACACUGUAUGACUCGAAAGGGAAUUAGGUUAAUAUUCCUAAACCAAGAUGGGGAGAUUGCUAUUUGUGCGGCUAUUCACUUAGCUGUGCAACUAGCAUUGGCGGUAACGCAAACAAGCACGACGAC